rnacentral:lncRNA from 1 species
AAAGAGGAAGCCAUGCCUCGAAUCGACAUGGGUUUUGUUAGGUUCCUUGACCCAUUGUUGACCAAGCUCCAGUAGGUUGAUGUGGAGGCUUUGUUUCUUUGAAUAUGAAGGAAUUUGUUGCAUGGAAGCUGAGAGAAAAACCCAGGUCGGUUUAGAGGAAAAAAGCUCAGUUUCGCCAUAUGGGAUGCAACUGCCAUUGUUUGAGUUUUCCUUCAAAAUUUUUCUCCUCUUUUUGUCUCCAAUCUCCUCUUUCAGAAGCAAUAUUCGAAAUUUUCUUUUAUUAGUUUUAUUAUUAUUAUUAUUAUUAUUGUUGUUUCGGGCUGCUCUUUAUCGGAUAUGUUUAUACAAGUGGGCUGGGUUUUGGUUGUUUGCUUGCAAAUUGAAAACCUGACUGACCCAAAACUGUGGGGUUUGAAUUCUUCGAUUGGUUCAAAUAUAAUAGUUUUUCAUUUUUCUCCUCAAAAUCUUACUGCAAAUUUGGGAAUAACAUAUCAGCAUAGUGAAAGGACUUAAAUCAAAAUACACCGAAAAAAACCAGUCCUAGCUUCUAAGAGGUUGCUGCUGGUGCAAUGAUUUUCUCCCUCCGGGACUUGAAAAAAGUCAACAUUUUGUGACGGUCGGGAAGGUUGUCCUUGAUCAACGGCAGUUGCUUAAACCUUUCAGCCCAUGCCUGCAAUCGAGGGAAGCUUUGAGGUCCCAGCAGUUCAACCCCAGCUGCUUCGGCCAACACAUCCAACCAACACGCUAUCCAUCCAUAGGCUAUAUCGGUUAAUCCAAGCUCUUCACCCCCAAAAAACUCUUUAUCUCCAAGCCCAUUCUCUUCUAUAGUUUUCAGCAGUUCCUCAGCUUCUUUUGUGCCCUUCACUUGCUCUUCUCCCACAGUAUGAAAGAAUUUGUAAAAUAUAGGUGCCUUAUCUUCUCCAAACUUGAUCCAGAAGCGAGCCACGCUCCUUUCAUGAGGAUCUAGAGGGAGCAAAGGGUUUUGAGGCCAUGUGUCUUCUAUGUAUUCAAGGAUAACAAUGGAUUCUGGUACUGGUUUUCCAGCAUGAACCAGCACCGGGAUUUGCUUGUGGAUUGGGUUACACCUAAGAAGCAACUCGCUCUUGUUGAAAAGAUCCUCUUCUACGUACUCAUACUUCACCCCUUUGUGUUUUAGAGCCCAUAAAACUCUGUAACUAAAAGGACUAGCCCAGUUUCCUAGCAAAUUCAGUUCUUCCAUUUUUUUGACAAAACUUGAAGCUUCUGCAAUUAUGUUUUAUAUGGCAGAAAGUUUCUUGCACUACACGUUCUAGUCUCGAUACCAAAGUCAGAAUUUUGUGUGUGUGUGUUUUUUUUAUUGUCGUCAUUUAGACCAACUGUUCAUAUCUGGUUAGUUGCUUAACACAAUAUUGAUUUUAGCCUCUUGUGAAUGUUGAGAAAUGGUCAAUGAUUUGCUCUUGGCUAAUGAUUUCUUUAAUUUUCUCCACUGCAGGUCCAAAGACUCCCAAGUUUUAGCUUUGGAAAUUUGUGAUAGAUCAAAGCAAUAUGAAGCCAAUGAGAAGCAUCCCAGAUCUCACAUCUUUCUCUAUGUUCACUAAAAUGAAUAUUUUCUUUUAAGCCCAAAAUUAAUUUCCCUCAUAUCUUACACGUUAUAAACUAUUCCGC